rnacentral:rRNA from 1 species
AACGAACGCUGGCGGCAUGCCUAACACAUGCAAGUCGAACGAGACCUUCGGGUCUAGUGGCGCACGGGUGCGUAACGCGUGGGAACCUGCCCUUAGGUUCGGAAUAACUCCCCGAAGGGGGUGCUAAUACCGGAUAAUGUCUUCGGACCAAAGAUUUAUCGCCUUUGGAUGGGCCCGCGUUGGAUUAGCUAGUUGGUAGGGUAAAAGCCCACCAAGGCGACGAUCCAUAGCUGGUCUGAGAGGAUGAUCAGCCACACUGGGACUGAGACACGGCCCAGACUCCUACGGGAGGCAGCAGUGGGGAAUAUUGGACAAUGGGCGAAAGCCUGAUCCAGCAAUGCCGCGUGAGUGAUGAAGGCCUUAGGGUUGUAAAGCUCUUUUACCCGGGAUGAUAAUGACAGUACCGGGAGAAUAAGCUCCGGCUAACUCCGUG